rnacentral:rRNA from 1 species
UACGUAGGGUGCGAGCGUUGUCCGGAAUUAUUGGGCGUAAAGGGCUCGUAGGCGGUUUGUCGCGUCGGGAGUGAAAACCCAGGGCUUAACCCUGGGCUGGCUUCCGAUACGGGCAGACUAGAGGUAUGCAGGGGAGAACGGAAUUCCUGGUGUAGCGGUGAAAUGCGCAGAUAUCAGGAGGAACACCGGUGGCGAAGGCGGUUCUCUGGACAGUUCCUGACACUGAGGCACGAAGGCCAGGGGAGCAAACGGG